rnacentral:rRNA from 1 species
UACGUAGGGGGCAAGCGUUAUCCGGAUUUACUGGGUGUAAAGGGAGCGUAGACGGCGCGGCAAGUCUGAAGUGAAAGGCGGGGGCCCAACCCCCGGACUGCUUUGGAAACUGUCGGGCUCAGAGUGCGGGAGGGGCAAGCGGAAUUCCUAGUGUAGCGGUGAAAUGCGUAGAUAUUAGGAGGAACACCGGUGGCGAAGGCGGCUUGCUGGACCGUAACUGACGUUGAGGCUCGAAGGCGUGGGGAGCAAA